AUAAUCACGGUUUGGCAGAAAUUUUACCUGAAGUGGAAGGUUUAAAAAGAACUGCUGAAGUCAAAUGAGCUGUCAUUGUUGUGUGCAGAUUUCGUUAAUCUGUCCAAAUGGUUGAUGUAUUUCAGUGCAUCCAAUUGCUGCGUUGUUCUCUGGAUCAGCGCAAGGAUGUUACUCUACAUUCGUAAAGGAUACGAUUUGACACGUAAAAACUCGUUGAACAGUUGGGGAAGAUGGCAUGAGUGUUAAUAAAUACUCGAUACAACUCUGCACACUGGAGGAAACAGCUUUGGUUAACAGUUUCGAAAAAAACUUUGCGAAGGCCAUGACUCUUGUUCGUCUUUAAG